UUAAGGUGUUCCCUAGAGUUCCCUUGACCACUUCAUGAGGGCUUACUUUGAUGUUAGAAGCGUUGCUGAAGUGUUUGGGGGAACUCCUGGGUUGACUUUAA
rnacentral:pre_miRNA from 1 species